rnacentral:rRNA from 1 species
GCCAGACUCCUACGGGAGGCAGCAGUGAGGAAUAUUGGUCAAUGGGCUUACGCCUGAACCAGCCAAGUCGCGUGAGGGAAGACUGCCCUAUGGGUUGUAAACCUCUUUUGCCGGGGAGCAACGGGGUCCUUGCGAGGGCCCGAUGAGAGUACCCGGAGAAAAAGCAUCGGCUAACUCCGUGCCAGCAGCCGCGGUAAUACGGAGGAUGCGAGCGUUAUCCGGAUUUAUUGGGUUUAAAGGGUGCGCAGGCGGAGGUGCAAGUCAGCGGUCAAAUUGCGGGGCUCAACCCCGUACUGCCGUUGAAACUGCAUCCCUUGAGUGCGCGAGAAGUAUGCGGAAUGCGUGGUGUAGCGGUGAAAUGCAUAGAUAUCACGCAGAACUCCGAUUGCGAAGGCAGCGUACCGGCGCCCAACUGACGCUGAAGCACGAAGGCGUGGGUAUCGAACAGGAUUAGAUACCCCCGUA